GCCUCCCGCGGGGAGACGACGCCCGCAGUCCCGGGGCAGCCUCCCUGCGGGCUCUUCCCGCUUCUGAGCCGCGCAGGCCCGGCUCUCCAACCCGCGCCCGUGUCUUUGCUCGUUACCUGCCCUGCCCACAUCGCUUUUGUGCAGAUGCAGUGGCUCUGCGCAAGUCCAGUCCACAAGGUGGACUGGAUGGAUGGUGGCCGGAAGUCCCGUGCCCCUGUUGACAAAGCAGUCCUGGUUCUGGGGCGAUCAACCCUCUGGAUGGCACCUUUCAGACAGAGGACAAGCUCAAGCAAAGGUCUCCAGCCGCAGGAUUCAGCAGCCAAGCACCAGGACCAGACACCCAGCGAUGACCAGCUCGCCUGUCUCCAGAGUUGUCUACAACGGCAAGAGGAACAGCAGUCCCCGCUCCCCCACCAACAGCAGCGAGAUCUUCACGCCGGCACACGAGGAGAAUGUGCGCUUCAUUUAUGAAGCCUGGCAGGGUGUUGAACGAGACCUGCGCAGCCAGCUGUCUGGUGGAGAGCGGGGCCUAGUGGAGGAGUAUGUGGAGAAGGUUCCCAACCCCAGCCUGAAGACCUUCAAGCCCAUUGACCUGAGUGACCUGAAGCGCAGGAACACGCAGGAUGCCAAGAAGUCCUAGAGUGCCUGGCGCCCCUCCCCUGGCCUCCGGAAGAUCAGGGUGCACUUGAUGGUCUCAAGUUGCCCUGUCACUGGGGGAACAGGGGUCUGGCUAUGUCAGCCCUUAUCCCUUUCCCCUGCCAGCUGCAUCUUGGGUAGCACCUGGCCCUGCCUACCCAGCCCUCUCUGCUGUUACCUGCCAUGCCUCGCGCCUCUCCUUCCUGGCCACCUAAGGUCAGAAAGGAAAAAAGGGACCUCUCUUCGGCUGUUGGGACCUCGAAUGACCGGAAAUCAGGACUGUGCAAUCCCACCUGCAUCCAGUGUGGCUCUCUCCGUGGAGCCUGGACGUUUGGGGAGCUCCCUCAUCCCACUGUCCAUCUCGCCCCUUUCUUGCCUCAGUUUCAGAGUGGAGUCAACUCUGAGCCGAGGACAGUGCUGGCUCCUGAAGGGGCCUCUGGCGACCAGACCCGGUCUCCUGGUACCUGUAGCCCUGUGGCCACAGCAGCGCCCGUGAGCAGGGGCACUGAGGCUGACCUUGAAGGAGUGGUGCUGCCAGGCCUGUCCUGGCUUUCUGGGGUGUACUGGGAGGAUCACCAAGGCCCCCUUUUUUGUGCCCUCUUGAAUCCAGGUGUCUGUGUUGGAGACAGAGACUGAGGGUCUGUGAAUAAAGGCUGGUGGCACUGGA